rnacentral:lncRNA from 1 species
CCCCGUGCGCACGCCCCCCCUACAGCAGCCGCCCGGACUUCACCGUUUUGGCCGUAACUCUCGCAUCUGAACUCCGAUUUGGGUGUUCUUUGGCUCGUUGAAAAGCUAGCGACGUGCCCGAGCUGCUCAUCUUGGUUUUACCACCAUUUGACUCCAUCAAAUUUUGUCCAUUUUGCAUCUUUUGCAUCGGCCCUCCGCCAUAACUUUCGCACCACCACAUAAAACUUCCGCAAACUAACCCAUUUUGGUUCCUUUGGUAUUUGUGGUUGUUUGAGUUGUGAUUUGAGUCUCCUAAGGUGUUUCAGCUACUUAGGGACGGUUGCAUCUUCAUCCACCACGGGUGACUUGUAUCGGUCCAUCGACUACAUCCACCACAAGCUUCCACAUCGACGACGACCAUCCAUCCUUUGAGACCAUCUUCAACCGGAAGCAAGGCCGGUUACCCCCGACUUCGUGAAGGUUAUGUUUGACGAAGGUAUCCAUUCCGUACUAAACUUCUCCUUCCUUGCCAUUACAUCUUGAUAGCCCCACCAUCUUUGCGAAUACCUUCAUACCCAUUGAGACUAGCUAUCCGAGUAUUGCCGGGCUUCGCGAAAACUUGUGCACCAUAGUGAUAUGAUCUCAUAGUGUUGCAUCAUUGGAUAUAUCAUAUUGUGCCAUUGUUUACUCCCGUUCAUAUCUUGUGAUACUUGUCCCAUAUUUGUGGUUGAGGCUCAUCAAGCAUAGUGGAAAGGAAGAGGAAAGUCAAAAAAAAGAGAAAAAAAGCUUUUAAGCAAGAAAGAGAAUGAUCAUAAGCUUAUAAGCAAAGAGUUGAGCAUGAAAAGAGAUACUUGUGCGUGAGGAUACAUGGAAUAGGAAAAAUUCUUGUUGCAUACAUAUAGGUUGGUGCCAAGUAGUGAAUCGUGACCAAGUGUGCAAUCAAGCUAGUGCUCUCCUAGUGUUUGUGCGACAUGAGCUUCGUCUUCAUUAGGCAAUUUUGUAUUGCUCAUCCCUAUAGUUGCACAAGCCCCAUUAUCCCACCAUGUGUUUCAUUAUUGCCCUCCUCUAUAUUUGUGAUCACUUGCUUUGCAUUUUGAGUCCUUUGGAUUUAUUUCAACAUUUACAAUAUCUUGGACUUCAAUUUGCAUGAAAUUUGUGCCACUUGUCCUAACCAAGCCACUCGAUAAGCUUUACUUUGUAGGAGUGAGUGAACAAGUCCGGUACCAAUUCCAAUAUUCUUUCAUUUCACAUUGAGUGAUACAAGAUACAUCCUCAACUUUGGGAAAAGGUAGCUUGGUAUUGUUUAUCUCAUUUCCUACUCACAUUUGCUCGAGUCUUGUGAUGGAUAGGCAAGGAAUUUCCUCUCCGGUCUACGACAACAACGACAGCGUGAACAACUACAUCACCAAAGCGUCCAUCUUCGAUCUACAACAACAAAUGCAAGGCGCACAAUCAAGAUUGCGAGAGCGCAUCGAGAACAUCUCCAUUGACAUUCGUCACUCCGAAGCAAGGAAAAGGGACUACAUCGACAAGAAGCUUUCCGCACAUAAAGAGGAGCAAGAUGCAAGGAUGGAGGAGAUUAGAGCCUUGAUCAAGUCUUCUUCCCCUUCGUCAUCUUCAAGGCGGCGAAAUUCAAGCCACAAGUCUUCGGAGCGCGGCCACGAUGCAAGUGCAAAUCGUCCUCGUCCACAUCUACAUGGCGACCACCAUCACGGUCGUGAUCAACAUCGUCAUGAAGGGCAAGUCACAUCCAAGCAUCAUGUGCACGACGACGACGAAUGACAUCUACUAUGAGCUCAAGCACGUCAACGACAUCAUCAUCAUGAAGAUGCUCCACAAGCGCAAAUGCACAAGUCGCAACAAGCCCUACUUCACGCCAAGUCCAAGCUUCAAGAGCACAAAAGAAGACCGCGAGACGACCACCACCAAGACGGCGCCACGGCUACACCAACCACUUUGGCAUCUUCGCCAAGUGCUAUCAAGUCAUCUUCGCCUUUGGACGUACGGCAUCUUUGCCUACUUCCCAUGAGUACGCCUACAACGACUUCAUCAAGUCCAAGGCGACGACCUACGAGCGAGGGAGACACUUCCAUCUUCGGAAGCCCCUCCAAGAAGAUGGCCAAGCAUGGGACAUUCCCUUUGGUCAUGGAGACGAGCUAUGAGGUGCCACAUCAUAUGGGCCUCCAACAACAAGACGGUGACAAGAAAGUUGAGCAUGGGACUAUCCCUUCAACCAAGGCGACGAUAGUAGUUGAGCAUGGAGACAUUUGCACCAACAUCUCUCCGACACCCACAUAUCAUGAGAUGACCCAAUUGCCAUGUGAGGAGAGCCACCAACCCAUGAGUGAGAUGAGUGACUCCACCAUAUAUGACAUUGAGUGAAUUUCCUAUGAGAGGAUGAGUGUGACCACUACUAGCCCCACACAUGAGAGCAUGCCACACACCCUAUGUGAGGUUGAGCGCCAUUUGAGUGACUCGACCAACCAUAUGAGUGAGUGCAUCCUUGAGGGAGUGAGUGAGCCACAACACUUAGUGAGUGAGGUAGUUGACACGGCAUGUGAGGCCACCAUGAUUUCUAAUGACUUAACCUCUACUCCUAGUGUGUUUUCUUCUGUGGUGCUAGGUCUCCUACAUGACGACAUGCCUAUCCUUGAUGAGUCCAUCCCUCCAAUGGACAAUAUGAUGGCCAUGGUGGAAUAUGAUGCACCCCCCCCCCCCACAUGGUUCCAUCACGAUGAAGAUGAACACGAUUUGGUCUUCCCCACCUCACCUACACCACUUGAGUGGAACGACAAAGGUAACAUAGGUGAAGGUGAUGCUCUUGUCCCACUAGUGGACGUUCUUGAAAUUGACUGCUUGCAUGAUGUUGAUCCACCUAUUACCAUGCUUCAUUAUAUUAUGAUUUCCCCAUGCAAUGAUUUGCCUAUUUAUGAUGAAUAUGAUGAUGAGCAUGUUGAGUUGCCUAGUUGUGAUGCUAUGCUCCAUAUGAUAUCAUGUGAAAAUUCUAUUGGUCACAUCAUGUUUGACAAUCCAUUGAACUUGUCAUAUGCUAUGAGUGAGAUCUCCCAUAUUGCAUCUUUACAAUCUCAACAUACUGACUAUGCAUAUGCCAUUAAACUAAACCCAAUUUGCACAUAUGGCAUAGAUGACAAGCCCAUGGUUAUUGGAAUUUGUUUUUCUUGUGAUGAUAUUGAUAUGCUCCCUUUGCAUCAUUUAUCUAAUAUGCCAUGCCAUGAUCACAUUGUUCCAAAUAUGCAUUGUUUUGGAUGUUGUGAAUAUUCUCCACGUGAUGUUGCUACUCAUGCUCAUGAGGAGACCCCCAUAGUUUCCUCAUACUUAUUCGGAGAUCUUGAUACAUUCCAUACUUUUCAUGAUUUCCAUGAUUGCGUGCACCAUAUACAUAACAUGAAUAACAAUGCUCUCGAUAUUUCUCAUGAUGCAUUACAUCCUUUGAGUCUCCAUUAUUCCAUACAUAAUAACAAACCUCUCAUGAUGGAUGACAUGUUUCUAUACCACGCAUCUCAUUUAUUUGAGCAUUGGCUAUUUUGUGCUCACCGACACAUGCACGUGCGCAUCAUGAUGGAUGAUGUGUACAUCUACCACGCACACACAAUUUUUCCUUUGUCUUUGUUUUGUGUAGGUACUCAUGUAUACUCGUCAACCUCUCAAUCCCAAGAGUUGACGAAACGAGCUCUAGAGAGAAAUGAUGCUUUGGGAUCCCGUGGACUAUCCUUACCACCGUUCCAUUCGCGCAAGGACUACGCGCAUCUCUUCUACUUGGCUCUCACACGGCUAUGGGCCAUUUACCACUUGUCACCUUAUGCUCAUUUUACCGUGUUCACUUUGCGUGCUAUGCUUGCUCCUAUGCCUUUGCCAUGCAAUUGUGACCCUUGCUUGCAUCUACCCAUGUUUCAUCAUUAUGCUACUUCUAUGUGUAUUUGCAUGCUUGGUAGAGAUCCUUGUUGCUAUUGCCAUGUUUAUCAUGUGCCCCACGCUAUUGUCCUCAUAUCUUGCUUUCAUGCUUGUGCUAUGACAUGUGAAUUACUCAUGCCCACUAUUUUCACCAAUGACAUGUUUGCCAUGAUUCCUUCUAGUAUGUUGCAUCUUUGCACUACUAGCUUGCUUGACUUGAUUGCUAUGAUUGCUUGCUAUGUUGCAUCACCCAUGUUCAACUAUUACUUGCUUUCUUGGGUUGAUGACAUAUAGUCUCAUGCCUCUCACAUGAUAUAUCUUGAUCAUUGUCUCUUGUGUCAUACUUGCUCAUCUCAUGCGGUUGAUGACAACCAUCUAUAUGCUUUGCACAUGAUUCAUAUUGCUUCGUGUCAUAUAUCUCCAUGUGUUGCCUCUCUCAUGCUAGAUGAUUUGCCAUGUAUUGAGUUCAACAAUGCUUAUAGUCUUGCUCUUAAGAUUGCCCCCAUAGCAUUCUUACAUAUGUUUGGAGAUUUUGACAUAUUCCUUGUGAAGCAUGCUUGUCUUACCUCUUCGCACCAUAUACCUAGUGCCUUGAAUAUCGCCAUUGUUGCAUCAUAAUAUUCAUGCACUUGUGCUUCUAAUGGUUAUGUGCAAGAGAAGAGAACCAUCAUGAUGGAUGAUGUGUUUAUCUACCAUGCGCAUACGCUCUUUGUUUUGUUGUGCGCAUGUGUAGGAUACUUGGACUUCAUGUCGACUUCCACUUCACAUGAGUUGACCAUUCGAGCUCUUGAGAGCGAGCCUCAUACAUUCGACCAUGAAUCGCUUCUACACCACAUUUCCUACCACUUCAACAUUGUGAAGAACGCACAAGGACAGGCUUUCAAGGUGAUAUCAUUCUAUAUCAAGAACACCCAAACCAUGAGCAUGCAUAUUGUGGAUCAUACUUCAUGUGUUGCUUGCUCCAUUGCUAUGCCUCAUGACAUAUAUGCCUUGUGUGUUGCAUCUAGUUCUUCACAUAUGCCAUGUCCCUUUGCUUAUCACAUGCUUGACUUGAUUGCCUCACACAUGUUGAACAAUUGCUCUUUUCAUUGUGUUGAGUGCCACGAUAUCUUCACUACACCCUAUGCACGUUAUGCUCGGAUUGUCUUACACUUGCCCCAUGUGUUUAGACAUUUCACUAUAUUUGGUGUUGUGAAUGACUCUUAUGCCUACCAAUAGACCGUUCAUUGAGCACUUUAUGCAUGCUUGCUAUGACCUUGAGGUAGAUGCUUGUUCACUUAUCACAUAUAUUUGCAUCUCGACCUCCCAUUUACAUGCUUGUUCCCAUGAUGUACUUGAUUGUGCUCAAUUUAUAUGCUCAAAUGCCAUGACACACUUCUUUGUCAAACCAUAUGCUAUGCUUGAUGACAACACUUGUUGGGUGAAUCACCUCUUGAAUGCUUGGUUUUGCUCUUACGACAACCACAUUUGUUUUUCCAAGUGCUUGUUAUCUUUGCUCCUUUUGAAGGAAUUACAAGACGGUGCGACAUUGGAGAGUGCCCAUUUGGAACUACAAGAUGACGAAUGCUUGGUGAUCGUCCACUUCUAUACGACGCCAUCAUCUCUUUCCAUUGGUGAUUUGGAUUUUGAUCCAAGGUCGGAUCUUUCCCAAGGGGGAGGGGAUGAUGCGGAGCAUCCUAUGGACAUCAGCAUGUCAAGAGUCCAUUUGACAAGUGACACGUGCCACAUCUACUUCAUGCAUACAAAGGUGAAUCAUCUCCUUUACACGUGUCCACUUGUACCCUUCGAGGAUGGUAUACUACUUGACCCCUCUCUCGUGUGCAUACUUAGGUGUGAGCGGAGCUACACAUUCAUCAUGGAGGAGUCCAAGCACAAGAGAACAUCUACACCAUCCAAUACGGAAGCCUCGAAGUGGAGAAGGAAGCGCCAAGAAAAAGGCAGCAGCUCCCAGGCGACCCCGUGCGCACGGGCUCCUCCGACCCCGUGCCCACGGGCCUCCCACGCUGAUGGUCCUGAAGACCCCAUGCGCACGGGCGUGUACCGUGCCCACGGGACCCCCGUGUCCACGGGCCUCACGGACCCCGUGCGCACGGGCCCUUGCGUCCGGUCCCUGGAUACCCCGUGCGCACGGGCUCCACUUACCCCGUGCACACGAGCCCCCUGUGUGAUGCUGCGAGCUUUGCCCUUGUUUCACCAUUUCGCCCCCACCUAUUCCCCUCUUUGCCUAGGACUAUAUAUACUCCUUCAUCUCCUCCAUUUAGACUUAGCUAAGAUUAGAUCUAAACACUAGAGCUUAGCUCAUGUACCUCCCCUUGUGGGAUUCCACUCCAUUGGAGUUCAAGGCCUCCAUUGGAGAAGAUCCCUAGUGGAUGAAGACCCCCUUGAGGGAAGGAUCUAUCUAGAUCAUCAAGCCCUCAUCUCCUUCAUAGGAUUUGGGAUGAACUCUACCAUGUAUCUUAUUUCCCUUUGUUGUUCAUGUACCUUGUGGAUCUUAUGUGUUUAAUUGUCUAGUGGAUGUGUGAUUUGACUUGUUCUUGGGUGUUCCUAUUGUUUUCCUUCUCUUGUUCAUAUUGUUCUUGGGGAUUCCCCCUCCAAUUCGUGAAAGAUCUCCCCAUAGGGUUCCACCCUACAUCACUAUCUCCAUUUCCUUGUAGUAUUCUUCAACACUCUUUGUUCCUUGCUUGAGGAGUUGUAGCUUCUUGAAGAGAUCACGGUUGUAGUAGGUGGGCACAAAUCGUGCUCGCAUGACAUCCUUCAUUUGAGCCCAAGUGGUGAUUGGAGGGUCACCUCUUGCUUCUCGGCGCUCAAGGACUUGUUCCCACCAUAUGAGCGCAUAGUCUUGGAACUCACGUGAUGCCAUUGCGAUCUUCUUCUCUUCCUCAUAGUUGUGCAAACGAAAGAUUUUGUCGACCUUUAAUGCCCAUGAGAGGUAUUCUUCCGGAUCAUUGCUUCCAUUGAACUUAGGCAUUGUGAAUUUGAGUUUUCCAUAGCGUUGCUCUUCAUCUUGAUAGCGGUUGCGAUAUCGCUCUUGCCUUGGAAAGUCCUCGAAUGCUCGCUCCUCAUGAUGUCGCUCUUGGCAUGGAGGAGGGUCUUGAAGCACUUGUUCCACUUGGUGUCGCUCUUGGCUUGGAGGAAGUCCAUGAUCAACUUGCUCUUGUUGAACUUAAGGUUGAGGUGGAGCUUGACGAUGCACACGUGGUUGGUAGUUCCUCUCUUGGAUUUCUUCUCGAAGAGCUUCCUCUUUAUUGCGCUGUUUGCGAUUGCGGUUGGCGAUGGCUUGACUUGAUUCUUGAAGGGCACGUUCCGCCUCAAGAGUUUGUGCUUCUCGUUGUUGUUGUUGUUGAAGACGUUGGGCCUUGGCGUCUUGUUCCUAUUGGUGUAGACGCGCUCGUUCUUCCUCUUGGCGCUGUAGUCGCUGUCGUUCUUGAGCUUGAGCAAAAGCGACUUGGUUUGAUUGAGGACGAGGAACUUGCUCAUCGACUUGCUCUUGUGAAUGCUUGACGUGUAGCGGGUUGUGAGAUGCAUGACGGUCUUGACACGCGGCUCGUCGAAGAAUGGUCGAUGAUGGUGUACUUGAGCCGGAGAAGGUGUCGUUGGAAAGUCGACUUGAGUGGCUCCGUCUUGAAUAGGAAGAAGUUGAAGGAGGCCGGUUGACCAACAAAGCGUGGAUCUUGUCCAUUCUUGCAUCGUUCUCUUGCUUGUGCGCGUCGAGCUUGUUGUCGAAUUAGUCUCGUGUACGUUGCUCGGAGAGUCGCAAGUCGGUGGCGAGGUUGUCGAUGCGGACGUUCAUUGCUUGUUGCUCUUGAUGGAGUGCUCGUUGUGCACCAAAGAGGUGGCUCUUGGUGACGAAUGAUGACAUGUCGUCGUCUUGCUCGAUGAAGAGUGGGUUGGUAGAGGAACUUGGCCUAUCCAUCAUAAGAAAGUGGUGGUGAGUAGGAAAAUGAGAGAACAAAACCAAACUUACCUUUUCCGAAGAUUGUGGAUGUAACAAGUACGAUCCCACGUGAUGUUACAAUAGGGGAAUUGGUACCGGGAAUUGUUUCUCACACCUACAAGUAAAUGGUCUAUGGAGGAGCUUGGUUAGGAAAGGCACAAAUAAUUCAAGCAAAUGUUAGUCAAGAUGUUGAUAAACUUGAGAAGAUUCACAAAUGGCAAAUAAGACAAAUAGAUCAACCUCCCAAGAUAACACGAGGGACACACACUCGGAAGAUAAAUGGGAUCCGCACAACCAAGGUGUGAGCUCGAAGAUGUCUAAUCACGGGAAAAGCUCUUGUCGUACGGAUACUAGAGAGACGCUAGCUCGAUUGCACUAAUGGGCUAGAUACGCUAGUGCACCAACCUAAUAGAGAAUCCACUCGUCUCACUAUUCCAAGUAUGCUUAUGUAUGUGGUGACCAAGAUGAUGCACGUAUGCUAAGGCUCGAUGCUAUUGCUUAUAAGCUCUUUGCUUCUCUUCUCUUUUGCUUAAAAGCUUUUUUGCAACUAUGCCACGAUGCUUGAUAUACGAGCCACACAAUGAGGUAACAAGUAGUAAAUGCAUGGGAUGGACGGAACACUAAAUGGUGCACUAAUGAUGAGGACAUGACUACCUUGGAUAUGACCAAAAAUAUUGCAUAUAUGCAUAUUUGUCAGGUGAUUUCUAGUGCAAACUAUUCAAUAAUCUAUUUAUGUUAUCCAGAACAAAAAUACUUCACACACUUUUGUGUUUUGUCUAAUUGCAGGUGUAUGGGACAUUUGUACAAUCCACAUAUGAAGAUAAGGAAGAAAGAGAUGUUUAUUUGCUGUCCAAAAAGUUCUCUCACGUCACUUUUGACCCAAGAGAAGAUAGAGUUCAAGUCUCUCACGUUCUGGAUUCAGAUUCGGACUGCACAGACAUACCUGACUCAAAACGCACACAAGUUUUUCAUGCGGACUCCGAAUUGGGUGAUUCUUUUUUUGUUGGAAACUAGAUUUCGUGCAUUUUCCAACCCAAUUGGAAUCACCUUCAAAUUCGUCUGGAGCGUUGAGUUGUGGACGAAACAAUCUGAUGCUGCAGCAGAAUCCGAGUCAAACUACAAGUCCAAAGGUGUUACAUCACCUCCACUUGGGCCCAUUGGCCUUGUACGACCUAGAUUUAGUUUUAGGCUGCCUUGGGACGUCCUCCCACCUCCUUGGCCGCCACCCCUUGCUCCUAUAUAAGUAGAUCCAUCUAGUAGCUUUUCCUUGGGAUUUGUUUAGUUAAAAGUUAGCCAUUGCAACUUCGUGUACUUCGUUUGUGUCCAACGACCAGACCAAGACCGCUUACGGAUCCCCACCAUUAUCAAUACCUCAUAUAUAUUUGCAAUAUUCAGAUUGCUUUAUCAUAUUCUUGCUCGUUCUUCGAUUGCUUGCAGGAAUAGACCUUCGUGGUCAGGCUGAUCGUGCUUCCGGCAUCAUCAGUAACCUCAGGAGAUUGGUUUAGCGAUUGCUAAGGCGCAACGUCGUGCACGUUUGUAGUCGGAUCGUCAAAGUCGUCUCCACCAAAUCGAUAGUUAUCAUCUCAUCGAAAGAUUGGGACACCCUCACCUCUAUCAAGUGGUAUCAGUUUUCAGGUUGCUCGGUGAGAAUUUCCAGUUUUCCUAGAUUAGAUUUAUUUUCUUACCUAUUGUCCAAGAAAAAGCCACAAAAAAAGAGUUAGAUCUAUUCAUCCUUGGUCCAAGCCAGUCUGAGCCUUUGCAAUUUUCUUUUCAUUGCUUGCAUAGUUGAAUUAUCGGUUGCAUCGUCGUGUCGAGUUGCUGGUCUUAGUGUCUAGUUCGUUUAGAGUUUCGAGUUCUGUUCACAUUAGUCACGCCACCGCUGCAUCAUUAUCUCUUCCGCUGUCCACCACCCAUCCAUCAAUUUCCACCACGUGCUACCCACCAUUCAUUGUCAUAAUAAUAGUUGAGAUCGUUCACAUCUUCACUUGAUCCAAUCUGCAUCUUAUCUAGUUUGUUUUGGAAAGAGGGAGAAAAAAAAGAGAGAAAAAAAACGAGAGAUAAAAAAGAGAAAAAAAAGUCAGAGAAAAAAAGGAGAGAAAGAAAAAAAAAGUGCGAGAAAAAAAGAGAAAAAAAACAAAAUUCAGAUCUUUUUAGACUCAAUCUCGUAGUUGAAUUCGGAUUGGAAUCUGUUUUGUGCACUGUUCAGUAAAACAGCUUGGCUGUUGUUUCACAUCAUUAUCUUUACUGCCGUUGUGAUCUUCACUUAUAUCUUGCUGUCCAGAGCUACUUAGUAUCCUUCAUUGAUGCUGGUUGUGCUACGACGUGACCUCAUUACUGUUCUAGGCUCGCGUCUCUAGUUCGGUCUAGCCUAGGACCAGCACAGUACCGUCGUUGAGCGUUUAUUCAACAUUGCAUCUUUGAAUUGAUUAUUGCUAAUCUUUUGCUACCAUAUAUAGCCAACCCAGCUCCACAUAUUUCUACACCGUGUAUACGUACGCUCCCCUGGCAAUCGCUUUACUCAAUAUUCGGAGUUACUUGACACCGCUGGUUGCCGAUCACCGCCUGCUGCAUGGUAAGAACUUGUAAGACAUUGAUAUUUGCUUUACUGUGAGCAUUUUACCACCACAUCCUAGUAGUUAUACGAACAUUAUUUUUGGGUUUUGUUUCUUGUUCUACUAAUCAUGACAGGAUCCAGAGUCAAUUCAUGGGCUUUGUCGAUCGCGGGAGACGUGCCACCACCUUUGCAAAUACCACAACCGUCACGAGAGGUGCACAAACAUCCAAAUGCACAUGAUCAGGUUAAUGUAUCUAUACCACCAUUUAAUGGCCGUUUUAAACCUGUUUUAUAUAUUGAAUGGGAGUUCGACAUAAAAAAUAUAUUUGCUUCCCAUAAUUUCAAUGAACAUAAAAAGGUUAAGGUUGCGGUUGGUUCUUUCACUGGUUAUGCUUUGGUUUGGUGGAGUGAAUAUUGUCGGUUACACCCUGAUUAUAUACCUACUACUUGGGAUGAUUUGAAACUUGCCAUGCGACAUACUUUCGUCCCUGCUUAUUAUACUCAUGACAUGAUUAAGAAGUUGCAACACUUAAAACAAGGUAGUGAAACUGUAACAAAAUAUUAUGAUGAUUUACAAACUACCUUGUUGCAUUCCUCUUUAGAAGAAAGUGAAGAUGAUUUUAUGGAUAGAUUUUGGGGAGGAUUAAACCGUGAUAUUCAAGAGAUACUAAUUCAUGAAGAGUGUUAUCCUAUGGACCAUUUGUUUCAUCUUGCUUGCAAAGCUGAACAGGAAAUAAAACGACGUGUUGGCCACGAGGAGAACAAGCGCACGGUGCACAUUCCAAGAGUUGACAUGAUUGUUCCUUCAACUACUAGGCAUACUAUGACAACCACAUCCGUUGUUGUCAGGACUACAUCACCUCCGCCAUGUGACACAUCGCCCCCGAGAGUGGCUACAUCAUCUGAAUUGAUCAUAAGAGGUAAUGACAAAGGUACUGAUCUUCCAUCUCUACAUGAGAAUGAUGAAUGCCUUGUCAAUUUGAAUGCACCAUCUGAUGAGCUACCCACUACUUUGAUCACACCACCUACUUUAGAGGACUACGUUGAUAAUUUGACUUUGCCAUGUGAUCAAACAACUGAAAUACCAACAAUUUUGAGUGCACCCAUUGAAUUAAAUAUUGAUGCAAAAGAACCAAUGUUUAAUCAUUUUGAUAUGACCUCUAAUCUUGUUGAUGAUUCUAUGUUGAAUGACUUAUUGCAUGUUUGCUUAUUUAAGCAUGUUGUAGCAUGUAAAUUUGAUGCAAGUAAGUUUUAUUCACCAAUGUUGGGAUGGUUUAAUGAUGAACAUUGUCAAUCUUUUGAAAUGAAUAAGAGCUUCACUUAUAUGUGCAAACUGAGUUGCAAUAUUUUCUUGCAUUCUACUUCUUGUGCUAAUUUUUUGGCUUUAGAUUUUAUGAACUAUGCAAGUUACUCAUCUAUUCAUGUGUCAUAUAUGCAAAAAUCAAGGGAAGUAAAAAUGGAUGACAUGUACAUAUACAACAUGUACACCUUGUCUCUUUUGUUAGCCACAUUUCAGAUUAAGCAACGCCGAGGACGGCUUUAUUUUCAAGAAGGGGAGGAUGAUGAGGACAUGACUACCUUGGAUAUGACCAAAAAUAUUGCAUAUAUGCAUAUUUGUCAGGUGAUUUCUAUUGCAAACUAUUCAAUAAUCUAUUUAUGUUAUCCAGAACAAAAAUACUUCACACACUUUUGUGUUUUGUCUAAUUGCAGGUGUAUGGGACAUUUGUACAAUCCACAUAUGAAGAUAAGGAAGAAAGAGAUGUUUAUUUGCUGUCCAAAAAGUUCUCUCACGUCACUUUUGGCCCAAGAGAAGAUAGAGUCCAAGUCUCUCACGUUCUGGAUUCAGAUUCGGACUACACAGACAUACCUGACUCAAAACGCACACAAGUUUUUCAUGCGGACUCCGAAUUGGGUGAUUCUUUUUUUGUUGGAAACUAGAUUUCGUGCACUUUCCAACCCAAUUGGAAUCACCUUCAAAUUAGUCUGGAGCGUUGAGUUGUGGACGAAACAAUCUGAUGCUGCAGCAGAAUCCGAGUCAAACUACAAGUCCAAAGGUGUUACAUCACCUCCACUUGGGCCCAUUGGCCUUGUACGACCUAGAUUUAGUUUUAGGAUGCCUUGGGACGUCCUCCCACCUCCUUGGCCGCCACCCCUUGCUCCUAUAUAAGUAGAUCCAUCUAGUAGCUUUUCCUUGGGAUUUGUUUAGUUAAAAGUUAGCCAUUGCAACUUCGUGUACUUCGUUUGUGUCCAACGACCAGACCAAGACCGCUUACAGAUCCCCACCAUUAUCAAUACCUCAUAUAUAUUUGCAAUAUUCAGAUUGCUUUAUCAUAUUCUUGCUCGUUCUUCGAUUGCUUGCAGGAAUAGACCUUCGUGGUCAGGCUGAUCGUGCUUCCGGCAUCAUCAGUAACCUCAGGAGAUUGGUUUAGCGAUUGCUAAGGCGCAACGUCGUGCACGUUUGUAGUCGGAUCGUCAAAGUCGUCUCCACCAAAUCGAUAGUUAUCAUCUCAUCGAAAGAUCGGGACACCCUCGCCUCUAUCAACUAAGGCGUGGCCCGGCAAUACUCAACAAGCUAGUCUCGAUGGGUAAGCUACGCAAAAUGGCUCGAAGCUAUCAAGUUAAUGGCAAGGGAGUACAAGGUGUCGUCGAGGUUACCGUCCUUGCUUACGGUCGAAGAUGAUCUUGUCGAAGCCGAAGUGUUGUCCAAGUUGAUGAUUGGUGGCGAUGAUGAUACCGACUUGCGCCUAAGUAGCCGAAACACCUUUGGACACAAGAGAAAUCGCAACCGAACACUCAACAAACACGUGUAAUGGUGCGGAAGAACAUGAGAGGUGGUGGUGAAACAAAAUGAGAAAAACAGAAAAAUGGCCGAAACUUCCUGGAUAGCCCGUGCGCACGGGGUAAGUGAGGCCCGUGUGCACGGGGUCCCGUGUGCAUGGGGUGCCGAUGGCCCGUGUGCACGGGGUCUCCCGAGAGCGGAUGAAGUGAUCUGAUUUCGUGGUGAAUUCCAAGUUUUUGGCCAAAAUCAAAUGGUGGAAGGUUGGGGAUGAUGGUGGAGGGUAGAUCCACUUGCCAAACACCAAAUUCGUGCAUCAAAUCAACCAAAUCUCACAAGAUCAACAAAUUGCAAGAAAAAAUUUUUGGGGCUAUUUUUGGUGGGGAUUUUCAGAUUAGGACGAAAAACAACAAAAUCAAGCUAGAAAGUGGAAGGUAGGGACUCCAAGAUGUGAAUCAACGUGGCUCAUGAUACCAAGAUGAUGUAGGGUAGAACCCUAGGAAGGACCUUUUCACACUUGGAGGGGGAAAAAGGAGAGAAACCACAAGAACAACAAGAACACAAAGAUGAAGACAAGAGGUAAUCACUCCAACAAUUCCCCAUUACACAUCCACUAGAGUAACAACACAAGAUCCUCAAGUCACAAACACAAUCAAAGGAAAGAUACAAUGGCAAAGUUCAUCCCAAAUCCAAAGGAAGUGGGGUCUUGAAGGUAGUCUUUUCCCAAUGGAGGUCUUGAAAUCCUCAAGGAUUCUUCCCUAUGGGGUCUUGAUCCUCAAAGAGGGAAGGUAAUGGAGCAAAGCUCAUCAAGAUCUCAUCUAAUACUUUGCUAACCCUAAACAUGGUCCUAGGUAUGGAAUAUAUAGCCUUGGGGUCGAGGGAGAAGAAGGGGAGCCGAAGAUGCAAUCUCAGCCGGCCAUCCUGGGAGGCUCGUGCGCACGGGAUAAGUUGGGCCCAUGCGCACAGGGGUCCCGUGGGCACGGUACAGGCCCGUGCGCACGGGGUGCUCCAGCGCCUGUUUCCUGUGUAGCCCGUGGGCACGGGGUCUUGGGGGCCCGUGCGCACGGGGUCACCUUGGACUUCCUGUGUUGCUGCUGUUGCACUCCGUCUUGAUUCGUACGGCCUUGGGGUGGUCCUCCUUCUUCUUGGGGAUGCUCCUGAGCUUCUUGGUGAUGUUCCACUUCAUACCUAAGGAGGCAUAGCAUAUUUUGGUGAGGUAGUAGACAUGUUCCAUUUGUGUGCAUAUGCAAGUCUAGUAGGAAGGAGUUCACCUCGGUUUCCAAAGCACGUGCUCUAGCUCUUGUCAUGGGUCCUCGUGGGGUUGGAUGUGUCGAUGUAGAGUCCAUGGGAUGAUGUAAGGAUGCUCCGCAUCACUUCCAGUUCAUCUUCACUCAUUGAGUCAUAGGUGCCAUCGUCGUUGAGGAUCAUGGUGCGCUUGUUGGUGCAUUGCAAGGACUUGUGGCCUCGGCCGCCACAUAUGAAGCACUUGAUUGAACUUGUCUUGACGGUCUCAUCGGUCGGAGUAGAGGAAGAAGCACGCGGCUUGUAGUUGCUUGCAGUGGGAGGAAGACGAGUUGAACUUGACGAAGGUUUCUUGUAGGUUGUCUUGUCAUCGUUGCUUGGAGAAGGCUUGGUUGAAGUAGAUGUUUGAGGAGUUGUUGAAGCUUGAUUGUUGGAGAAGCCAUAUGUCUUGGAUGAGUACUUGGAAUACUUGAAGUCAUCUUGCACUUGACGUUCUGCCUUGGUCGCUUGAUGCACGAGCUCGACGAGGUUGGAAUAGGGUUGGAAGUCGGCGAUCUUCUUGAUGGGAUGAUUGAGUCCAUUCAAGAAACGUGCCACUGUUUGUUCAUCAUCUUCCUUGACAUUGGCUCGAAUCAUGGCUAUCUCCAUUUCCUUGUAGUAUUCUUCAACACUCUUUGUUCCUUGCUUGAGGAGUUGUAGCUUCUUGAAGAGAUCACGGUUGUAGUAGGUGGGCACAAAUCGUGCUCGCAUGACAUCCUUCAUUUGAGCCCAAGUGGUGAUUGGAGGGUCACCUCUUGCUUCUCGGCGCUCAAGGACUUGUUCCCACCAUAUGAGCACAUAGUCUUGGAACUCAAGUAAUGCCAUUGCGAUCUUCUUCUCUUCCUCGUAGUUGUGCAAACGAAAGAUUUUGUCGACCUUCAAUGCCCAUGAGAGGUAUUCUUCCGAAUCAUUGCUUCCAUUGAACUUGGGCAUUGUGAAUUUGAGUUUUCCAUAGAGUUGCUCUUCAUCUCGAUAGCGGUUGCGAUAUCGCUCUUGCCUUGGAAAGUCCUCGAAUGCUCGUUCCUCACGAUGUCGCUCUUGGCAUGGAGGAGGGUCUUGAAGCACUUGUUCCACUUCGUGUCGCUCUUGGCGUGGAGGAAGUCCAUGAUGAACUUGCUCUUGUUGAACUUUAGGUUGAGGUGGAGCUUGACGAGCUUGUGGAGGAGCUUGAGGAUCUUGACGGUGCACACGUGGUUGGUAGUUCCUCUCUUGGAUUUCUUCUCGAAGGGCUUCCUCUUUAUUUUGCCGUUCGUGAUUGCGGUUGGCGAUGGCUCGACUUGAUUCUUGAAGGGCACGUUCCUCCUCAAGAGCUUGUGCUUCUCGUUGUUGUUGUUGAAGACGUUGAGCCUCGACGUCUUGUUCCUCUUGGUGUAGGCGCACUCGUUCUUCCUCUUGGUGUAGGCGUGCUCGUUCUUCCUCUUGGCAUCGUAGUCGUUGUCGUUCUUGAGCUUGAGCAAAAGCGACUUGGUUUGAUUGAGGACGAGGAACUUGCUCAUCGACUUGCUCUUGUGAAUGCUUGACGUGUACCGGGUUGUGAGAUGCAUGACGGUCUUGACGCGCGGCCACAAGGAGGAAGAAGGAGUGCAACAGGAUCAACACUGCACCUCCCAGGUGACCCCGUGCCCACGGGCCUCGAAGACCCCAUGCGCACGGACUACUCCAGAGAGUUGGCGCUGGAGCACCCCGUGCGCACGGGCUUGUACCGUGCCCACGGGACCCCCGUGCGCACGGGCCCAACUUACCCCGUGCACACGGGCCCUAUAGGAUGGACGGCUGUGAUUGCUGUUUGGGCCUCCUCUUCAUCCACUUCGUCCUCAUGCCUAUAUAUUCCAUACCUAGACCAUAUGUUAGGGGGAGGCAAAGUAGUUGAUAGACAUUUGUGAGCUUUGCUCCAUGGAUCCACUCCACUAGGAGAUCAAGACCUCCUCUUGGAGUGACCAAACAUCAAGAUCUCCUCCUUGGGGAAGGAUCCCAAUCAUAGGAUCAUCAAGCCCUCAUCUUCUUCAUAGGAUUUGGGAUGAACUCUACCAUGUAUCUUAUUUCCCUUUGAUUGUUCAUGUACCUUGUGGAUCUUAUGUGCUUGAUUGUCUAGUGGACGUGUGAUUUGACUUGUUCUUGAGUGUUCCUCUCGUUUUCCCUCUUUUGUUCAUCUUGUUCAUGUACCUUGUGGAUCCAAUUCGUGAAAGAUCUCCCCAUAGGGUUCCACCCUACAACAUCUUGGUAUCAUGAGCCAUGGUUUCUCAUGAAAUUGGAGCCCCCUCUUUGUUUUCUAGCCUUGUUUUGUGUGAUUUCGUCCUAAAUUCGAAAAUUCCCCACCAAAAAUAGCCCCAAAUUUUUUUGUGAUUUGUUGGUUUGAUGAGAUUUUGUUGGAUUUGAUCCAUGGAUUUGCUUGGUUUCAAGUGGAUCUAGCUUUCCUCCAUCUUUUCCCCUCCAUCCAUCCACAAAAUCUCUCCAAUUUUUCCCAAGAAAUCUCCUAUUUUCGCCACAAAAUGACGAAUUUUCCGCCCACCCCGUGCCCACGGGGCCCAGACCCCGUGCGCACGGGCCCCCGAAAAGUCUCUGGACACCCCGUGCCCUCGUACAUGUACCGUGCGCACGGGACCCCGUGCCCAUGGGCUUCUACCCCCGUGCGCACGACCCCCCCAGGUCAGCCGCGUGCACUUCACCGUUUUGCCCACAACUUCCACAUCCAGAGUACGAUUUUCACGUUCUUUAGCUCGUCCCCAUCCACCUAGAUAGGUUCCCACACCAUUUGACUCCACCAAAAUUUCGGCAUUUUGGCAAGAUUGCCUAGGCCCUCCACCAUAUCAUCCGCUACACCACCAUCGACUUUCGCAACCUAACCCAUCUUGAUCCCCUUAGCAUUAGUGGUUGCUUGAGUAGUGAUUUGAGUCUCCUAAGGUGUUUUGGAUACUUAGGGACGGUUGCUUCUUCACAAACCACCACCACCACUUCCACAUUGCCAUUUCCGCUACCACCAUUUGACAUUUGUCAUUUGAGAUUUUGAGUUUGCGGUUUUUACCGUUUCCUAAGGUGUUUCGGCUACUUAGGGAC